CUCUGUGACUCCUACGGGAGGCAGCAGUGGGGAAUAUUGCACAAUGGGCGCAAGCCUGAUGCAGCAACGCCGUGUGAGUGAAGAAGGUUUUCGGAUCGUAAAACUCUGUCCUAAGGGAAGAAACAAAUGACGGUACCUUAGGAGGAAGCCCCGGCUAACUACGUGCCAGCAGCCGCGGUAAUACGUAGGGGGCAAGCGUUAUCCGGAAUCACUGGGCGUAAAGGGUGCGUAGGCGGCUUAGCAAGCCAGGGGUGAAAGGCAUUGGCUCAACCAAUGUAAGCCUUUGGAACUGUUAAGCUUGAGUGCAGGAGAGGUAAGUGGAAUUCCUAGUGUAGAGGUGAAAUUCGUAGAUAUUAGGAGGAACACCAGUGGCGAAGGCGACUUACUGGACUGUAACUGACGCUGAUGCACGAAAGCGUGGGUAGCGAACAGGAUUAGAUACCCUGGUAA
rnacentral:rRNA from 1 species